UACGUAGGCAGCGAGCGUUGUUCGGAAUUACUGGGCGUAAAGAGUGUGUAGGCGGUGCUCUAAGUUCGGUGUGAAAUCUCCCGCUUAACUGGGAGGGUGCGCCGGAAACUGGAGUGCUCGAGCGUGGGAGAGGAAAGCGGAAUUCCUGGUGUAGCGGUGAAAAUGCGUAGAUAUCAGGAGGAACACCUGCGGUGUAGACGGCUUUCUGGACCAUUGCUGACGCUGAGACACGAAAGCGUGGGUAGCAAACAGG
rnacentral:rRNA from 1 species